rnacentral:pre_miRNA from 1 species
CUUGUACUCCCUCCGUCCGAAAAUACUUGUCAUUGAAAUGGAUGUAUCUAGAUGUAUUUUAGUUCUAGACACAUCCAUUUUGAUGACAAGUAAUUCCGGACGGAGAGAGUACUUG